CACCUAAAAACCAAACCCAUUAAAAACGUUAAUCCCUCUUCUUCCCGAGGCCAUCCCUUCUCCCGCAAUCAACGCCGCCACCCUUCUUCCUCCUUCGCCAUCCAUCUCCUCCACUCCCAAGGGCCGGCGGCAACUUCCUCUCCACCUCCGGCCGACCCUCACCUCACCUCACUUCACCUCACCUCAUACUCUUCCCCUCACCGGCCGCCAUAUCUCCUCACGGACACGCCGCCACCGCCGCACCUCCCUCUCCUCCACCAAGGGCUGGCGGCUCCAUCCUUCACCGCCGCCGGACGUCCGGCCCUCUCUUCCCCCUCUCCAUCUUCUUUUACCUUCAUCCAAAUCCAGUUUUGACGCCAAACUUCUCCUCACGGACAGAAGGCAGAGAGCAUCUCCGUCCAGUACCGCUGCCGCUGCCGCUGCCGGAGGGAGCAUCUCCGACCAUCUUCAUCCGCCGGGUUCAUCUCCUCCACCUCCUCCCUUUGGGUUAGAAGGGAGGAGAACUAGAGAUCUCUUCUUCGGGUUAGAAGAGGAGGCUCCACGUCUCCACAGAUCGCAGCAACUCCUUCCAUCACUGGCGUCUUUCGUUGCAUCCAUCUGGUUGACCAGCUCCUUCUUCGGGUUAGAAGAAGGGAUCCGGCCGCCCUUUACUUGAAGCCGCAGCCCCUUCUGCACCCGCUCUGUCAUCCAGCAGCCCUUCUCUUCGGGUUAGAAGAGGAGGAUUCUCGACAGCCCCUUCCUCCUCAGGUUAGAAGAGGAAGAGGACACAAGACUGAACUCAGAUAAGGCGUAAUAAAUGUUGUCAGGUGGUCUGAUUCCCUCAUCUCCUCCCAAUUCUUACAAGUCUAUUGUGAUUGGUGGCACAUUUGAUAGGCUUCACCAAGGCCAUCAUUUGUUCCUCAAGGCAUCAGCAGAUCUUGCCAGAGAUAGGAUUGUGGUUGGGGUUUGUGAUGGACCAAUGUUGACCAAAAAAGAGUAUGCUUACUUAAUAGAACCUAUUGAGAAGCGCAUCCAAGGUGUGAAGAACUACAUUAAGUCCAUGAAACCUGAGUUGACUGUUGAAGUGGAUCCAAUCACAGAUCCUUAUGGUCCAUCAAUCAGGGAUGAACAAUUGGAGGCUAUAGUUGUGAGCAAGGAGACAUUGCCUGGGGGAAUUGCUGUUAACAGGAAAAGGGCAGAGAGAGGGUUAUCACAAUUAAAGAUUGAAGUAGUAGAUAUAUUGCCUGAGGAAUCUACGGGAAUCAAAAUUAGUUCUUCGACAUUCCGAAAAAUUGAGGCUGCAGAAGCCUUAACAAAUCAGCAGUUUGAUGGUGACUCGGAGACAGAUCCUCUGGCUGCAAGCCAUUAGAAGUUUGAUACUGAAAACAGAUCAUGCCCGACUGGUGCUUUUAAUAAUCAGAGUCAGAUAUUGGGAAUUAAAUUGUAAUCAAAUGCUUAAUGUUAGUACUCCAGGAGUUAGGAAUACAAGAAGUCGAGCGGAAAACACAACUAGUGAGAAGGAUGGCACGGGAAGGGAGUUGACGGACUCGGUGCAUUCGAAAGACGAGAUGCUGCGGAAGAGUACAUCAGUAGACGAGAAGGAUGCGCGCAACGGUUCGAGGAACAAGAAGCUGGGGAGAAAGGCUGCUCGAAGAGAAGGUCGGAGUUGGAUUCGGGUGAGAUCAACUCCGGUUAGUUGGAUAAUCACCUAUGCGAAGACCUACAUGAAGAGAUCAGUAAAGGAGUUGAUCUGCCGUAUGGAAGGCGCCUUCAAUGGCUUAAAAGACGCCUUCGUACUGUUCAUCGAAGGCGUCUUCCAAGCCAUGGAAGGCGCAUUCCAAGUGAUCGUUAGCGAAAAUAAGUUUUAUCUUCGCACGGAUAAAACUUAUCACGUUGGAGGUGUCUUUCACCCUAUUGAAGGCGUCUUUCAGCCUCAGAUAAGAUUUUUCAGGGGUUAUAAAAAGAUCCUUAGAGCUAGGAAAUAUAUCAAAACUUGAACAAUAAGUAUUGUAUACUUUCCUAGUCUUUCUUUUGAGCUAUCAACUUCUGUAAAAGACUUUUCUGCCUGCAACAAAGGAGAAUUCUAAGUGAAAUUUUUUUCAACGUCUUAA